GACGAACGCUUGCGGCGUGCUUAACACAUGCAAGUCGAACGGAAAGGCCCUGCUUUUGUGGGGUGCUCGAGUGGCGAACGGGUGAGUAACACGUGAGUAACCUGCCCUUGACUUUGGGAUAACUUCAGGAAACUGGGGCUAAUACCGGAUAGGAGCUCCUGCUGCAUGGUGGGGGUUGGAAAGUUUCGGCGGUUGGGGAUGGACUCGCGGCUUAUCAGCUUGUUGGUGGGGUAGUGGCUUACCAAGGCUUUGACGGGUAGCCGGCCUGAGAGGGUGACCGGCCACAUUGGGACUGAGAUACGGCCCAGACUCCUACGGGAGGCAGCAGUGGGGAAUAUUGCACAAUGGGCGGAAGCCUGAUGCAGCAACGCCGCGUGCGGGAUGACGGCCUUCGGGUUGUAAACCGCUUUCGCCUGUGACGAAGCGUGAGUGACGGUAAUGGGUAAAGAAGCACCGGCUAACUACGUGCCAGCAGCCGCGGUGAUACGUAGGGUGCGAGCGUUGUCCGGAUUUAUUGGGCGUAAAGGGCUCGUAGGUGGUUGAUCGCGUCGGAAGUGUAAUCUUGGGGCUUAACCCUGAGCGUGCUUUCGAUACGGGUUGACUUGAGGAAGGUAGGGGAGAAUGGAAUUCCUGGUGGAGCGGUGGAAUGCGCAGAUAUCAGGAGGAACACCAGUGGCGAAGGCGGUUCUCUGGGCCUUUCCUGACGCUGAGGAGCGAAAGCGUGGGGAGCGAACAGGCUUAGAUACCCUGGUAGUCCACGCUGUAAACGGUGGGUACUAGGUGUGGGGUCCAUUCCACGGGUUCCGUGCCGUAGCUAACGCUUUAAGUACCCCGCCUGGGGAGUACGGCCGCAAGGCUAAAACUCAAAGGAAUUGACGGGGCCCCGCACAAGCGGCGGAGCAUGCGGAUUAAUUCGAUGCAACGCGUAGAACCUUACCUGGGUUUGACAUGGAUCGGGAGUGCUCAGAGAUGGGUGUGCCUCUUUUGGGGUCGGUUCACAGGUGGUGCAUGCCUGUCGUCAGCUCGUGUCGUGAGAUGUUGGGUUAAGUCCCGCAACGAGCGCAACCCUUGUUCACUGUUGCCAGCACGUUAUGGUGGGGACUCAGUGGAGACCGCCGGGGUCAACUCGGAGGAAGGUGGGGAUGACGUCAAGUCCUCAUGCCCCUUAUGUCCAGGGCUUCACGCAUGCUACAAUGGCUGGUACAGAGAGUGGCGAGCCUGUGAGGGUGAGCGAAUCUCGGAAAGCCGGUCUCAAUUCGGAUUGGGGUCUGCAACUCGACCUCAUGAAGUCGGAGUCGCUAGUAAUCGCAGAUCAGCAACGCUGCGGUGAAUACGUUCCCGGGGCU
rnacentral:rRNA from 1 species